rnacentral:misc_RNA from 1 species
GUGAAUCAUCGAAUUUUUGAACGCAAAUUGCGCUUCCUGGUAUCCUGGUAAGUAUGCCUGUUUGAGGGUCAGUAUUACCAACAAAUCGGUUUGGUUGCAAAUUGUGACGUUUCCGGUGUUUGGGCUUAUAUUAACUUUUUAGGUUAAGGGGCUUAUCAUUGACCUUUUUUGCGCAUUUUUAGACGUACAUAAUUUUUUUUUUAUUCGUCUAUUCUUAAUGCCAAAAUCUUAUUAUAUGCAACCACAUCGUGUGGUUUCGUGACCA